rnacentral:lncRNA from 1 species
GAAAAAAUAAAAUCAUUAUUUAAUCAACAGUGAGCUAAUCUGGUAUGGCACAGGAAAGUUUUUGAAUAUUAACAAUAGGUUAAUUCUGUAAUUUAAAAUAGAUGACAAUGCUAUCGCAACCACCACCAUGUUUUUAACAUCUGUAUGCAUAAUUUUUCAAGGAAGAAAGAACCUUGAAGCAUCCCGUGGCCUUAAUCUCUUAGAAAUCCUAAGGGAUGCUUGAGCCAAUUAAUAAAGAGCCCCUUCACUUGAAGUAUUUGAAAGCCAACAUUUGUGGUGAACAGGCAACAUCAGCUAAUCACAUAUUAAGGAUGAUUCCUUUGUUCACUGUGUGAAAGUGGUUUGUAGCAGACAUUCUUAUAUUCCCAUACUCAAUAUUUAUUUUCUCAAAGCCAAACUAAUUCCAAGAGCUAAUGUGACCUUUCAAUAGUAUUUUUUGCCCAUCUCUUAGAAAACAAUUUAAGGGGUUUCACUAUAUUAGGGGGAUUUUCCAUUUUUUCCUACUCUUCAAAAGAUUUGUCUUUCAUCUUCUUUUUCUUUCUCUCCAGCUACAAAAUGUGCUCAUUACGGGCCUAUCUGCCAGCAACAAAAGGGAGGAGACUCCUAUUUCAGCAGUUAGAAGAUGGGAAGCAUUCAACCAGCCACCUAUUCUGGAAGAUACUAUUGGAAAGGGCACUUGACAAUGUUCUUCCUGGAUUCUCAGAUUUCAAAUACCUGGGGAAAGAACCUGAUUGGCUCUGCUAGUCAGGUGUCAUCCAUACCUGAAAGAAUCAGCCCUAUGUGGGGCUGUCCUGGAGAAGCAGGAAGACUGUGCUAGGUUGGCACUCCAGAAAGUUCCGGCUCAGGAAACUUAAGCCAAGUACACAUCACUCAAAGCCACAUGAUUUUCAGGAAAAGGCCGGAGUUGAGGGUAAGCAUCUAACUUCCACAGAAGGAAGAAGUCUAUUUCUUGUUGAAUUCAAUCAGACUACCUACCAUGUUUUGUUUCUUUGGUGGCUUUUUGGCAAAAAAAAAAAAAAAAAAGCAUUAUUAAGCAUAAAUCUUCAUUUUGGUGUCCAGGCUACACCCUCAUGGUCUCAAUAUUUAGUACCUCAUGUCC